UACAAGCAACAUUAUUAAGACAAUAUAACCUAAAUUUUCUCUUGUUAAGUGGAUUAAAAAAGAAUAAAAGACAGCUACAGUGAUUUUGUGAAGAAAAAUCAAAGGUGUAAAGAUGAAAACUGAAGGAAUUGAAAAGAGGGGAAACGAAGGCUAAGGAAUCUGCUGUGAGGAGAAGAGGCUGCUGCCCAGGCUCUACUGAGACCCUCAGCAAGGUCUGGCUGCUGCGAUAAUAGGACCUGUGGGGGUAAUGGGACGUGCUGCAGUUUCUACGCACCCACUGUCCUAAAGGACUGACAACAGAAAGAAGCUGCCAGAAGGGAAUUUUGUAAGCAGAAGAUAUGUAUUGCUUUUGCAAUACAUGCUGGUGAGCAUGGCACUUCUGCUUGCUUUCUUACUGAGCUUCACCUGUGACUAAUACAUUUCAGAACAAUCUAACCCUUAUUCUUUGGGCUCUUUGGUGCUUUAAGUGCCUUUUGUUCUCUUGUUCUGCACUUAACACAAUGUAUCUCUAACUUUGAUGCUUCUAAUCCUCCUGUUGUAGAAAUAAAUAAUAAUAAUUACAGCAAUCUGUCUCCAAGAAAUUACUUUUUUAAAAGUAAAAUAUGUGUUCAUUUCAAAGACUUUCUUAUCAUACAAAUAUGGCACCUGUUUUCAGCUAAGAGCAGGAACACAAAUGCUAUGAUUCAGGGAGCAGAGCAGAGACUCAGGAAGUUAAGAAAAUGUGUUGAUUGCUUUAUGAAGAAGUUGCAAGCUUAUGAAUCCUU